AUGUUGCAUCAUCUUCUCUUAUUUCGACAGUCUUCCUCAACUAUCAGGCUGAUAUAUCACUGGUUUUUUCCUGCAGGAUGCUUGCUCAACUGAAUAUAAAAUGAUCAACUGCAGCCACAAACUCAACUUUGCUGCUCUUCCGAAUUGCAAAAGCCGAUCACUGAUUUACUGUAUACAAGUAAUUUUGCUCAAAGCUCAAGCUUGGCACUUCAUUCAUUACAUAUCCUUGACACUUGUUUAGGCAACACUGAUAUACU
rnacentral:lncRNA from 1 species